AUUCCAGCUCCAAUAGCGUAUAUUAAAGUUGUUGCAGUUAAAAAGCUCGUAGUUGGAUUUGUGGUGUUGCCUGUGGUCCAAAAUGUUUUGGUGCUGUCGGGUACUGCCAUCCUUGGGUGGAACCUGUGGGGCAUUAGGUUGUUUUGCAGGGGAUGCCCAUCGUUUACUGUGAAAAAAUUAGAGUGUUCAAAGCAGGCUUACGCCGUUGAAUAUAUUAGCAUGGAAUAAUGAGAUAGGACUCUGGUGCUAUUUUGUUGGUUUGCGCACCGAAGUAAUGAUUAAUAGGGACAGUUGGGGGUAUUCGUAUUCCAUUGUCAGAGGUGAAAUUCUUGGAUUUUUGGAAGACGAACUACUGCGAAAGCAUUUACCAAGGAUGUU
rnacentral:rRNA from 1 species